UUCACGAAUGAUCAAUACUGUAUCCUGUUCUCUUUGUGUUUUUCAUGCAGUAAUUGUUUUUGUAUCAUGUCAUUGUCCGAUGUAGUGAUUGCUUCAUGUAUCAUGCCAUUGUGAGACAUAAAAUUGCUUGUAUUAUGCAGUCGAUAAGGUCAGUGUCUUGUUAUUGCAUCAAGUCUGUGAGUGUCUCCGAAAAUGAACCUAACAUUUGGCGCUGUGAGGAGGGUUCUGACACGUACAGAGGUCUUACGUGGACUGAACAAGUGAUCAUUCGCAUGUCAGUGGAGUGAGACCGACGGGCCCGCAAGUUUCUCCAUUCACAGGUGAAGUGCGCCUUCGGUCCACCUCCGUGGACACCAGACCAAGACCUUAAGAACCAGAAUCACUCUUCAUGACCACAGAUCAGAGAUUUCAUACUUGUCCAAGACUGGGAUCGCCUUAAGCUCGGGCCAAGGUGGAAAGGACCAUUUCAAGUGCUUCUUCUAACUCUGUCAGCUCUUAAAGUUAAAGCACAGAAUUGCUGGAUUCACCUAAGUGACUGCAAACAAUGGAUUCCCUCAUCAGCUUGCAAUUAAACAUUGGACUGAGUGUUAUUCUGACCGUGCAUGGCCAGCAGGGCAAUUUGUUUUAUAGAACACGUGUCCAGCUGCAUGGGAAUUGGACAGCAUGUUACCUGCUAGCACGGUCUGUAGAGGCGUUAUUUGUGGCAACACCAGGCUGGGACCCUAGUCCGCUCUAUGAAGUGAAGCAUUCCGUUAAACCUUGCAGAGGGGAGAGGGGAACUUGGACGAGAGGUGUGCAGGGUAGGUGUGUGGAAUUGGUAGUCCUCGGAUUGUAUAGGCACUAAAUCCAGGCACCGGAGGGAAGUGGCCAACUGUACGAAUCCCAAUACCUAUCCGUUUUGCUUUAAUGGAACUGGGACCUGUUGUGUGCAUACUCUAGUCACUAAUCACCCCCAUAAUGUUUCCUGGUCCCAUCGGUGCACAAAAAGAGCUUGCACAACUAAAGGAGGACUGUUGAACUGCCCUUGUUUAGAAUCUAAGCCAAUAACUGUGAUCCCGAGCAUACAGUGAGCUUGUGGAGAUUGUAAUGGCACCCAUGCAAAAACAGGCUACGGGAUGUUUCCAUUUAAAUCCACAGAUUUCCAUCCAUAUAAGGGUCAGUCCUCCUAGAAUAGCUGUCAAGAAAUACGUGAAUCUGUUACCUACUACUGGGCUAAGAAAGGACUUGUUUGCCUUAACGGGACCAUCAUGACUGCCACUCCAACUUUGCCGGCGCUGUUUUCUGUUGGGACCAUUGGGCCUCUCACGAUCCCUUGUCCCCAACGAGCACAGUCUCAAUGGCAAAUUGUCACAUGCUUCCCGAGCUGGGAGUUUUGUGCUGCAUGGCAGGACCCGAUUGCUUUGGGCUCUUCCUUGGGAUACGGCUUCCUGGGAACUGUUAGCUUGGGAGGCUCCCCAGGGGUGGUGGCUCCAAAAAACUGAAAUUACCUUAUAUGUGGGCUCACUGCCCUGGGAAACAGCACAAUGAUGGCAUUGGUGACAAUCAACCAAGAAUUAGUCAAACUUUGGUUCUAUGCUCAGCAAACCUGGUAUGCAGUAGACUAUCAAAUGGCUCAGCAAGGAGGAGUAUGUACUAUUAUAGCGGACAAAUGCAUUACCCGUGUUACAGACGGGUCCUACAAUAUUACCCAGGAUAUUCAAGCCAUAUAGGGUCAGUUGGGACAGUACAGAGUGGGACCCCAACCUAGGUGGGAGGCUGGUGGGGGGCUUUUUGGUCUGGCUAAUGGGCAGUUUUUGGGGCUCAUACCUGCCACAUGGGUUAGUUAUUCUAAUAGUUAUCAUAGCCGUUUGCUGUAUAUUUAUGGUAUGCCUGAACUCUUGCUGCAGAGUUGUGUUUGUCAGACUAGCAGCUCCCUUCUUGGCCCCGAGAAAGGUUAUCAUGAAAUGAUAAAAGGAGGGAAUGAGAUGUUAUUGGGAUAACAUCCCAUUGAUUUCUAUAUUCUCUCUAAAUUAACGCUCUUCAUCAGUUUACAUAGAGGUAUGCAGGCACUUCCUGCCUGACUAGAAUUAGAUGUAAAACUUUGUAAAUCCUUACCUUCCUACAGAGAGGUAGAAAGACACUGCCUUAAGCUUUCUGCCUGAGUAGAAUUAGGUAUAAACUUUGUAAGUCUUUAUCUUCCUGUACAGGAGUAUGUGGAAACGGUCUCAAAUAAGAUUAGGUGGGCAGCAUUUGUAAAGAUGUGAGACUUCUGAGAUCCUGUAAAGAAUGCAACUUCUGUUUCUGCUAAAGGGUCCAGGGCACUGACUUUCGUUCAAGCCAGACACUUCGGCGGCUUGAAAUUACAUUCUGUCACUUCCGCAACUUGAAAUUGCCUCCUGCCGUUAGCAGCCACUUCACGAACGAUCAAUACUGUAUCUUCCUCUCUUUAUGUUUUUGAUGUAGUAAUUGUUUUUGUAUUAUGUCAUUGUCCGAUGUAGUGAUUGUUUCAUGUAACAUGCCGUUGUGAGACGUAAAAUUGCUUUAUGUAUUAUGCACUCGAUAAGGUAUAAAAAGCAGGGACUGUCCGCUGCUCGGGGAGAAUCGCUUACAAGACUCUGCGCUCUGUGCCGGGUUGAGUACAGUGAUCCU